rnacentral:lncRNA from 1 species
AUACCAUAACACCAUUUAUUUAUUUGUUUAUUUAUUUAUAUUUUUAUUUAUUAUUAGGGGUAUAUUCGGUUAUUGCUUGUCUCGAACCAAGAGGUGAAGCAAGAAGCACCGCUGAACUCUACCUCACCACUAAAGGUCAGUACCUCAGUGCUCCAGGUUUCACAUAUGCCUGGUCUUGCUGAAUAAAUAUUUCUGAGGUGGAAAUGAUUCCAAGUACAAUCAUUUUGAUUUCUUCUCUUGCAGAAAUUAAACUAGAAAUAAAGCCGCCAGAUGUCCCAGAUGCUAGAGUUGCAAUUCCAGUUGAAGUUCCAACUGAAGAUGUACCUAUUCUUCCUAUCUUAAUUCCCAUGCCAGAAGAGAAGAAGAAAAAAGAAAAAGGUACUGCAGCUUUGCAUUUCAGGACUUGUAUUCAUUGGAUAUUUCCAAAUAUUCCAUUUGACCAGUUUCUUUACAUGCUUAAUUAUUUUCCCUUUUGUUUUUAAAGUGGUUAAGAAGAAAAUAAUCAAAAAGGUGAUUCCAAAAGUCCCAGAGGAAGUUCCACCUCCUAAAGGUAUGUCAGAUUGUUUGUUCCCAAGUAUAAAGGUAUAAACAACAAAA